GUCUACACAAAGAAGCUUGCAUCCAGCCCCAUAGCACGAGAUGCCAGAGAAGUUUCAGAAGGCUCCUUCUUGAAAACCCGGGGCGCUUGCUGCUAGGACAGCAGUCAAGGUCCGAGGCUUCUGUGUCUGAAGACCUACCAUGAACCCCUGCCUUCACUGGCCUUGGGCCCCUGUGAAUCACCUAAGAAGAGGAAGAAACCCAGGCUCAGAAACCUUAAGCAGCUGUCCAGGGACACAUAACAAGGAACUGACACCAGUUCGACUUGUCUGAACUCUGGAGCCAGACUGGGAAGAAAAUAGG